GCCAGUGCAGUGGCACGUACCCAUAGUCUCUCAGCUACUUGGGAGGCUGAGGUGGGAGGAUUACUUGAGCCCAGGACUUCUGGGCUAGCCUGGGCAACACAGCAAGACCCCUGCCUCUU
rnacentral:sRNA from 1 species